ensembl:ncRNA F52H2.11 ncRNA
GUAGGUCAUCGCAACCCCAUUAGCUGCUUGCUAGCCGGCACUCGACUCGUCUACAAAAAAGACGCGAGAGAUGACAGUAAGUUGUUUCCUCUCGUCUGACUCUCUUGUCAUUGACUUGUUUGGUUAUGCACAGUGCAUUU